rnacentral:rRNA from 1 species
UGGGGAAUUUUGGACAAUGGGGGAAACCCUGAUCCAGCCAUCCCGCGUGUGCGAUGAAGGCCUUCGGGUUGUAAAGCACUUUUGGCAGGAAAGAAACGUCAUGGGUUAAUACCCCGUGAAACUGACGGUACCUGCAGAAUAAGCACCGGCUAACUACGUGCCAGCAGCCGCGGUAAUACGUAGGGUGCAAGCGUUAAUCGGAAUUACUGGGCGUAAAGCGUGCGCAGGCGGUUCGGAAAGAAAGAUGUGAAAUCCCAGAGCUCAACUUUGGAACUGCAUUUUUAACUACCGGGCUAGAGUGUGUCAGAGGGAGGUGGAAUUCCGCGUGUAGCAGUGAAAUGCGUAGAUAUGCGGAGGAACACCGAUGGCGAAGGCAGCCUCCUGGGAUAAAACUGACGCUCAUGCACGAAAGCGUGGGGAGCAAACAGG